AGGAUUCAAGAACUGUACAAGCUGCCCUAGUGGGUAUCUCUUAGACUUAGGAAUGUGUCAAAUGGGAGCCAUUUGCAAGGAUGCAACGGAAGAGUCCUGGGCGGAAGGAGGCUUCUGUAUGCUUGUGAAAAAGAACAAUCUGUGCCAACGGAAGGUUCUUCAACAACUUUGCUGCAAAACAUGUACAUUUCAAGGCUGAGCAGCCAUCUUAGAUUUCUUUGUUCCUGUAGACUUAUAGAUUAUUCCAUAUUAUUAAAAAGAAAAAAGCCAAAAAGAAAAAAAAAAAAAGCAAGCCACCUCUCUCUUUCUUUUCUUGCUCUCUUUUUCUUUCUCUCUCUCUCAAGUUUGUGCAGGGAGAUGGUGAACUGUUUUGUCAGAACUUAAAUGG
rnacentral:lncRNA from 10 species